rnacentral:rRNA from 1 species
AUUGAACGCUGGCGGCAGGCUUAACACAUGCAAGUCGAGCGGGGUGAUGGUGCUUGCACUAUCACUUAGCGGCGGACGGGUGAGUAAUGCUUAGGAAUCUGCCUAUUAGUGGGGGACAACAUCUCGAAAGGGAUGCUAAUACCGCAUACGUCCUACGAGAGAAAGCAGGGGAUCACUUGUGACCUUGCGCUAAUAGAUGAGCCUAAGUCGGAUUAGCUAGUUGGUGGGGGAAAGGCCUACCAAGGCGACGAUCUGUAGCGGGUCGGAGAGGGUGAUCCGCCACACGGGGACUGAGACACGGCCCAGACUCCUACGGGAGGCAGCAGUGGGGAAUAUUGGACAAUGGGGGGAACCCUGAUCCAGCCAUGCCGCGUGUGUGAAGAAGGCCUUAUGGUUGUAAAGCACUUUAAGCGAGGAGGAGGCUCUUUUGGUUAAUACCCAAGAUGAGUGGACGUUACUCGCAGAAUAAGCACCGGCUAACUCUGUGCCAGCAGCCGCCGUAA